AGAGGUUAUGGUUCAGUGGUAGAUUAUCUGCUUCGUAUGCAGAAGGUCCUCAGGUUCAAUCCCUGGCACCUCCA
rnacentral:tRNA from 1 species